GUUACUUCAUCUACCUAACUUGGCAAGAACAUCUAGAUUAUGAGUAUUAUCACCACGGACAUAGGGUAAGCUAAUCUAGUUCUCGCUUUGGCAUGCAUUCCUUCUAGAUAAAGGACAUAGACUAACAUCAAGAUCUUUUGACUACCUAGAGUCAAUCAAGUAUUUGAAGGAUUCAUCAUGUGUUACUAAAUUUUGAAUAUUUUGAUCACCUACUGAAGCUUUGCGGGCUUGGGACUAUUACCUACAGUCAAUCAAGUAUUUGAAGGAUUCAUCAUGUGUUACUAAAUUUUGAAUAUUUUGAUCUCCUAGUGAAGCUUUGCGGGCUUGGGACUAGCUAUGCUGUAUGAAAAUUGUUAGAAUAUGUAAUAGUAGAACCCUAAUCCAAUGUGUAUUAGGAGUAGACUAAUCCAAUGUUUAUUAGGAGUAGGAUAGGUUAUGUGUGUAUAUAUAGGGCUCAUUGUAUCAUGUUUAAUCUCAGUUAUAUUUUUCUCCCGUGCUUUCUCACAAAAAUGAAUUAAAAGUUUCCAGAUGCCUUCCCCAAAAAAUGAAGACGCUUUUAUAAUAACGUUGGAUUGACCAUGUUUGGCUGCUGCCAUCGUAUUACUACUGCGUCCGCAAUUCUAAAACUGUUUCUACCUCAAAUUCCUUCAUAGAUGAAGGAGAUGGACUAAUAUCAAGGUCUUUUGAGUGCCUGUCAAGUAUUUGAAGGGUUCAUCAUGUUAAACUUUCUUUAAAAAUUAUUUUUGUUGCAGAGUGGAGCUUUUUGUGCUUGGGACUAGCUAUGUUGUUACAAUACACAACAACAACAACAACAACAACUACCCAGU
rnacentral:lncRNA from 1 species